rnacentral:lncRNA from 1 species
GGGCUUGCCACUUGCCAGAGGUGAAGGAAUCGGAGGUGAAGGAGGUGGUGGGGCGUUGACCGGAGGUGCUCCCCAACGCCACCACCUGCACCGCCGUCAAAUCUCUUUUCCAACUUUGCUCCCUCCUCUCCCUUCUCGGUGACAACGGUCUUCCCCUCUCCACCCACUUCGCCACCAUGCACGCCGUCUGCUUCCUCUGCUCCUGCUCCAACGGCCAGCGCCCAGUGGACGGCGUCGCCGUGGUCCAUUAUGCCCAUGUGGUGGUGGUCGAGAGCUCGGUGGAGGGGAUCGCGGCAGAGUUCGAAAUAGAGCGCCAGAGCCGAAAGCAGCCAAGAGAGUUUCGAUCGAGCGAAGCCGAAGGUGGCAAGAGCGUAGUUGGGUGGAGAUGCGGUGAGGGCGAUUGGGCGG